AUGGGAAUGGGGGGGGGGGGGACAAACCCAGCACCACACCAGGGCCUGAACCUCUGUGGUGGCCCCCUCCUCGCCGUGCCCCCGCUCCGGGCUGGUUUUGGGGUGCUGGGCACGGAGCACCGUCCCUGCCUGUUCCCCCCUGGGACGUGCAGGGCUGUGGCUCCACCAGGAAAAGGGGUUAGGGGCUGUUGGUGUAGGAUGUGGGGUGGCCCUGGCCCCGCUCCCUGGGUCCCUUGUGCACCGUGCUGGGGGGGCUCGGCUGUGCUCGGAGCGGGGCCGUUCCCCUUCCCCGUCCUGGUUUCACCUCUGGUUGUGGGUUCACCUGGAUGUGGGUUCACCUGGAUGUGCUCCUGGGCUGCGUGCUCCCAUCCCGUCCCAUCCCGUCCCAUCCCGUCCCCGGAGGGCCCUGCGGCUCCCGGAGCCAGGCUUGGCCACGCAGCAUUCCCCCGGUGGGGAGUCUGCUGCCAGCAGUUUCGGGGAAACCACAGCUCUGACCCGGCCAGGAGCCCGCAGCACAAAGCCCUGGGGCGUUUUGGGGUGGUUUUGGGGUGGUUUUGGGGCGCGUGGCCACGUCGGAGGUGGCACAGAGCGGGGUCACCUUGUCCCUGCUGGAGGUUGCCGAGGUCUCCCUGCGCCCUGAUCCCAAGGGUGCUCGGAGCUGGGUGUCCCCAUGUGCCCCUCGUGCUCCCCCAAAUUUAUCCAGCCCCCCUCCUGCCCCGCUCCCUGAGUCAGAGGAAUGCAUUUCCGGAGAGCAGGGCUGGGAUUUGGGGAAACCUGUUUGCCAGGGAGGGGAGGAGGAGGAGGAGGGAUGGCAGGGGAUCUCCUGGCCCGCUGCUGACAUCAUCCCCAAAACAGGCGCUGCCUGCACGAACCCGAAUCCUGCAUCAUCACAGCUCCUGCUCAGCAAGGUCCCUGCUGCCCCGCUGCUUCUGGGGUGCACGAGCUCUGCCCCCUCUCCUGGGGAUCCCCAGUGCCCAUAUAUUGGGGUGCAUGAGCUCUGCCCCAUUUCCUGGGGAGCCCCUGUGUCUGUAUUUUGGGGUGCACGAGCUCUGCCAUCUAUCCUGGGGAUCCCCAGUGCCUGUGUUUUGGGGUGCACGAGCUCUGCCCCCUUUCCCGGAGAGCCCCAGUGCCCAUAUUUUGGGGUGCAUGAGAUCCGUCUCCUCUCCUGGAGAGCCCCAGUGCCCCUGUUUUGGGGUGCACGAGCUCUGCCCCCUUUCCUGGUGA
rnacentral:lncRNA from 1 species